CUAAAGUUGCAUGAAAAAAGAUUUUUUUUUUUUUGCGAUUAUUCACAUACUUUUCCUCCUAUUAAAUCGUGUGCUCAUUAAUUAAAACGAGGUUCCUCUCUUUGCAUUUUGUAUCUCUAAACACCCAUCAGAUUGUGUGCACUGAGUAUGUACUCCUCAGGCUGAGUUCAGCCGGAAGUCAGCGCCGCCCAGGGUGGGGAGAAGGAGAGAGCAGCGAAGGGAGCUCACAGGGCUGGAGGUAGCCAUGCGAGCGCACAAAUCCACUCUCAGUUUAAACUCCAAACGCAGACAGGGGACAAAAGAGCCUUAAAACUUCUCAUCACACGAUCCAGAGAGAAGGCAGCUCUCAGAACAAAGGAUGGAAGGUCCCCACAGAGCGAAUUCAGACUUGUGUGCGGCCUCAGAGAAACGGGGAGGUGCCUCAAUCCACAGCCGGAGCUCACGAGCAGAUUGGAGGAAGAGAGAAUAAAUACGAAGAAGUCUGAGGUGGAGAGGGAGAGAAUCAGAAAAAGAAAUAGGCCUCAGACAUCAUAUGGAAGAGACAAAGAGAGGGAGAAUAAGAUUUCUCCUUAAACAAAACGAUUUACCCAAGGUUUUGAAGCAGAUGAUCCUCUUUCUGAAGAAUCACCUGAAGGUCAAUAGUACCCGACCACUACGUCACUAUAAUGCUUAUGUCAUUCACCGCACUUCUCAUCACAUAAGCAUUUUAUCUUCUCACAUCAUCACAAG